rnacentral:rRNA from 1 species
GGUCGUGAUAAGCGCUGAAAGCAUCUAAGCACGAAGCACAUCCCAAGAUUAAAACUCAAGUUUCGACGCAAGUUGAAGCAUUAACCUCCAGGGAGAUUACCUGGUUGAUAGGCCGCAAGUGUACGCACAGCAAUGUGUUCAGCUAAGCGGUACUAAUGGU